GGAGAUGAAGACGCCUUCUGCUGCACUCAACAGAGCUGAAGGUAAGUGAGGAGUCCAGACAGACUGCAGCCGUACGGCUGUGAAUGAUGUGAUGUGUCGGUGUAUCGCGUGGUGAAAGCUGUGAUUUACAGUUAGUACCUUGAGAUAAACCUCUGAUUCUUGCUGUUAUCAUGUACAUGUACACAGAGACGCAUAUAAAAGUACUUACACAGAGACACUCUAACAUGUUGGUAUGCACAGAGACUCGCUAAACAUGAAAAGCAUAUACAGAAAUACACUUUAACAACCACAUUAUAUAAUGUAGAUACAAACAUGAAAUAACUAAAUGAAGGUGCAUCAAAUUAAAAUAAUUGGAUCUAUGAAUGUUUUCUCACAUCCCGAUGAUCCUCCUCACGUCUCUUCUCCUUGUCUCUGCAGACCAACAGGACGCAAACAGGACAUCAUCAGGACGUCACGUCACCGGGGCGCGCUGAGAGUCGACCCCUCAGGAGCAGCUCCAGAUCCACACAAAGACUCACUAACGUUUCUAUUUUCCAACAGGCCCUUUUCCCCCUCUAUCACUUUCUGGCCCUCUCCCCACCCUCCACCCUCUCUCUUCUUUUCCCCCUCUAUCUGUUUCUGCCCCCACUCUCCCAUUGUCCCCCCCACUCUCUUCCCCCCGCCCCCAUCACUCUCCCUUCCUCCCCACUUCAUUUUUUUCAUUUUUCAUUUUUUUCAUUUUUCAUUUUUUUCAUUUUUCAUUUUUUUCAUUUUUCAAACGAACAAAACGUUUGACCUGGAUUUGCUCCAUAUAUGUGUGUGUGUGUGUGUGUGUGUGUGUGUGUGUGUGUGUGUGUGUGUGAGAGACUUUCUUCAGGUGUGCUGGGGACGUCCCUCCUGCAGCUGACCAUCAUGGGGGUAAAUGGCUGUGCCGAGCCAGUGUGGGGGGAUCUUCAGUGGAAGCCAGAGCGGAACCAGAGACGCGUGAAAAAGGAAAAGGAAAAAGGAGCCGUACUCGUCUUUUGGCAAUAAAUGUUUCCUGAUUCCUGUUGGAGAUUUUGUUCUACACACUAACAACAUUAACGUGUUACUAACUUUUCUUUCUUUCUUCUCAGGAACCAAACAUGAAAAGCAUAUACAGAAAUACACUUUAACAACCACAAUGUAUAAUGUAGAUACACACAUGAAAUAACUAAAUGAAGACCAACAGGACGCCAUCAGGACGCCAUCAGGACAUCAUCAGGACGUCACGUCACCGGGGCGCGCUGAGAGUCGACCCCUCAGGAGCAGCUCCAGAUCCACACAAAGACUCACUAACGUUUCUAUUUACCCACAGGCCCUUUUCCCCCUCUAUCACUUUCUGGCCCUCUCCCCACCCUCCACUCUCUCCCUCUCAUUUUCCCCCUCUAUGUGUUUCUGCCCCACUCUCCCGUUUAUUGUGUUUUUUUUUUUGUUAAAUAUAUCACGUGUUUAUUAUUAUUUGAAAAUAAAUUUUGAUAAAAAUAAAA
ensembl:lncRNA